rnacentral:rRNA from 1 species
AUUGAACGCUGGCGGCAGGCCUAACACAUGCAAGUCGAGCGGAUGAAGGGAGCUUGCUCCUGGAUUCAGCGGCGGACGGGUGAGUAAUGCCUAGGAAUCUGCCUGGUAGUGGGGGAUAACGUCCGGAAACGGGCGCUAAUACCGCAUACGUCCUGAGGGAGAAAGUGGGGAAUCUUCGAACCUCAGGCUAUCAGAUGAGCCUAGGUCGGAUUAGCUAGUUGGUGGGGUAAAGGCCUACCAAGGCGACGAUCCGUAACUGGUCUGAGAGGAUGAUCAGUCACACUGGAACUGAGACACGGUCCAGACUCCUACGGGAGGCAGCAGUGGGGAAUAUUGGACAAUGGGCGAAAGCCUGAUCCAGCCAUGCCGCGUGUGUGAAGAAGGUCUUCGGAUUGUAAAGCACUUUAAGUUGGGAGGAAGGGCAGUAAGUUAAUACCUUGCUGUUUUGACGUUACCAACAGAAUAAGCACCGGCUAACUUCGUG